UGUGCUGUGAGGCAUGCUGGAGGUAUCAGAAGUGCGAAUGCUGACAUAAGUAACGAUAAAGCGGGUGAAAAGCCCGCUCGCCGGAAGACCAAGGGUUCCUGUCCAACGUUAAUCGGGGCAGGGUGAGUCGACCCCUAAGGCGAGGCCGAAAGGCGUAGUCGAUGGGAAACAGGUUAAUAUUCCUGUACUUGGUGUUACUGCGAAGGGGGGACGGAGAAGGCUAUGUUGGCCGGGCGACGGUUGUCCCGGUUUAAGCGUGUAGGCUGGUUUUCCAGGCAAAUCCGGAAAAUCAAGGCUGAGGCGUGAUGACGAG
rnacentral:rRNA from 1 species